ensembl:snoRNA SNORA70 Small nucleolar RNA SNORA70
UUGCAGCCAGUUAAGCCGACCGUGUUGCACUCCCCAUGGAGCCCGGUGUGUAGUGACUGCAAACAGCAGCCUCCUGGGUGGUGUAUGCAGCCUGUUGCUUGUACAGGCUGCCCUAAGGGACCCUGGAGACAGCC